rnacentral:rRNA from 1 species
GUUUAUGCCGCAUGGCAUAAGAGUGAAAGGCGCUUUCGGGUGUCGCUGAUGGAUGGACCCGCGGUGCAUUAGCUAGUUGGUGAGGUAACGGCUCGCCAAGGCCACGAUGCAUAGCCGACCUGAGAGGGUGAUCGGUCACGCUGGGACUGAGACACGGCCUAGACUCCUACGGGAGGCAGCAGUAGGGAAUCUUCGGCAAUGGACGAAAGUCUGACCGAGCAACGCCGCGUGAGUGAAGAAGGUUUUCGGAUCGUAAAACUCUGUUGUUAGAGAAGAACAAGGACGUUAGUAACUGAACGUCCCCUGACGG